rnacentral:tRNA from 1 species
GGAGGAUUCGCCUAGUGGCCUAGGGCGCACGAUUGGAAAUCGUGUUGGGAGCAAUCCCUCAGGGGUUCAAAUCCCCUAUCCUCCGCCA